rnacentral:rRNA from 1 species
UGGGGAAUAUUGGACAAUGGGCGCAAGCCUGAUCCAGCCAUGCCGCGUGAGUGAUGAAGGCCCUAGGGUUGUAAAGCUCUUUCACCGGUGAAGAUAAUGACGGUAACCGGAGAAGAAGCCCCGGCUAACUUCGUGCCAGCAGCCGCGGUAAUACGAAGGGGGCUAGCGUUGUUCGGAUUUACUGGGCGUAAAGCGCACGUAGGCGGACUAUUAAGUCAGGGGUGAAAUCCCGGGGCUCAACCCCGGAACUGCCUUUGAUACUGGUAGUCUUGAGUUCGAGAGAGAUGAGUGGAAUUCCGAGUGUAGAGGUGAAAUUCGUAGAUAUUCGGAGGAACACCAGUGGCGAAGGCGGCUCACUGGCUCGAUACUGACGCUGAGGUGCGAAAGCGUGGGGAGCAAACAGG